rnacentral:lncRNA from 1 species
CCUCUUCUUAAUACAUCUCUUUCCCUUUUCAUGUAAUAAGCAUUUCCCUUCAAAAAACUGUGUACUUUCAUAAUCUGUGUCUGUAUUUAAGCCAUUAGCUAAGCUGCCUUCUCAACCUCCGAACAAAACUUUGACACUAGUCUUCAUGGAUUAGUGAGCUCCAGCAGAGCUCAGAAGCUCAGGUAUAGAAAAUGUGUGUGGAAAAAUAGGAAAUUUUGCCAGACGUGGUAGGCUGGAGGCUGAUGGGGUAAGUGAAUUGAGGUUGCUGAUGAAAAGUCUCAUCAUUAAUAACU